rnacentral:misc_RNA from 1 species
GUCAAGGUGAGAAGGAGAAUUGAACACAUGUUGUUCUGGUGCCAGUAUGCUCGAGUAACCUAGUUCGCUAGUCUAAUUACAUACAAACCGAAUCCAACAGGUUUUUCCUCCUUCUCUCACUGGUGGUCAGAUUUAGUGACCAAGUUUAGUUCAGAUAUUGAACUUCUUACCGCAGUGGCUGUUACAUGUUGGAUAAUCUGGAAAGGGAGAAAUAGGGCUGCAUUGGAUCACUUAGACUCUGAUCCUUUGAAGGCAGUUCAAUGUAUAGCAAAACUUACAGCAGAAGUGCAUAAUGCCCGUGAAUUGCCGACUAAUGUUCCUAGAAUUUCUAGAAGGAAUGUGCUCUUGGAAAGGUGGCCCCUCCUCCUAGAGGCACUUAAAGUUCAAUUCAGAUGUUGCUUGGAAAAUAGGAUCCCACUUUGGAGUGAUUGCAGUGAUAGUGCAUAAUUUCACAGGAAAUAUAGUUGAUAGGAUUGUGAAAAAGGUUUUUU